rnacentral:rRNA from 1 species
UACAGAGGGGGCAAGCGUUGUUCGGAAUUACUGGGCGUAAAGGGCGCGUAGGUGGCCCUCUAAGUCGGACGUGAAAUCCCCGGGCUCAACCCGGGAACUGCGUCCGAUACUGGAGGGCUCGAAUCCGGGAGAGGGAUGCGGAAUUCCAGGUGUAGCGGUGAAAUGCGUAGAUAUCUGGAGGAACACCGGUGGCGAAGGCGGCAUCCUGGACCGGCAUUGACGCUGAGGCGCGAAAGCUAGGGUAGCAAAUGGG